rnacentral:lncRNA from 1 species
AUAUUUUCGUUCGUAUCUGUUUAAGUUUUUUUUAUUUAUUUUUUUCCGUAAUCCCCAUGUGUAGCUUUUCUAGUCUUAGGGCAACUGCAUGUUUGUGAGCCUUUGCAUGUGAACGCCCGUAUCCAUUUUCCACUACUUCUUUCCGCAAUUUUCAUUCCCUUUACUUUUGUCAAGCGUGGUCGAAAGACUCGUAGCCAUUGCAUCCUAGGAUACGUCAUGUUUUCUGUUUGUUUUAAAUUUGUAUCAGUGCACAAAAAACUUAGUGCAUAAUCGUGACGUGUUGCAGCCAAACUCUCUGAAAAAUGGAUUCAACAAAUUAUGGAGGAUACAUUUUACUCCAUAUUAUAGUCGUUGGUCUAUCAAAAGAUCAUCCACUGACAGCUCCUGAUGCCUUGGAAUUGGCUUAUAAAUUUCAAGACGGUGCAAAACAAUGAAGCAUCUAUGGUUCUUUGUGCUAACUUCGUCUCACUCAUUGUCUUGGGAAUAUUGUCCUGCCACAAGGUUGCAUUCCUCUAAAUCUGGCUAUUAGCACUUUGGCUUCAUUGAAAGAGCUUGCACGAUAGAAUCUUUUUUCCUGGUCACCUCAUUCAAGUUGUUUUUUCAGCAGAACUAAACUUUAAGCAAAUGGAGCUUUAUCACGCUAUACCCAUGUUCUUCUAUUUGCUGGCUUCUUGUCACCGUAGGGGUUCCUCCUUAAUAUCAACUUUGAAAUUUGAUAAGUAUUGGGAUUGUAACAUUGGCCACUUUUACCAUUAUUUGGUAUCUAUUUUUACAAUUUCAUAAUGGGCUUUUGCAACAAGUUCUCUCCAGAGUCUUUCCUUUCAACCGCGGAAUUUUUGAAGAUUAUGUUGCCAACUUCUGGUGCACAUUAAAUGUUUUGGUCAAAAUCCGACGAAUAAUGGAACCCACCGCUAUCGCUAGAUAUUGUUUACUGCUAACAGCUCUUUUCAGUUUCCCUUGUGGACUUCAUCUAUAUUUUAAGAACAGUUCGCGUAAUUUGCAUAUCUCUUUGAUCAACGUGUCUCUUGCAUUUUUCCUAUUCUCCUAUCACGUCCUUGAGAAAUCAAUCCUUUUAGUAACGUUGCCUGCUUCCAUAGCUAGUCCUUAUUUCUCAUUCACUGCCUUCUGGUUUCUCUCCAUUUCCCAUUUCUCUAUGUUACCACAGUACGCCAAAGAUGAUUUGAUUAUCCCUGAUGUGGUUGACUUGCUCUCUAUUGUUUGCUGGCUCAUAGCAGCUUGAUAUUAGAUUUGCCUCAAUCUAUGGAGUUAAAAUGUCUAGCUGGUAUUUCGGCGAUUGGAAGUGCCGUUUUGGCUGUUAUGUUUCUCACAUGAUAUGGUUGAAAGAUAUUGAUACAAACCUUUUCAUUACUCUCAAAGUUUUAAUUUAUUUAAAAAUAUUUUGUAUUGGGUCUAUGGGUGCCGGACAUUCAGACCAGUGGCCUGAAAAUAUUUUUUACUGGCCUGAAUGACUGGACAUUAAGGCCUGUCAAAUUUGAUUUUACACCUUUUUCAGGCCACUAGUGGCGCUAGCUGCCAAAUCAAUGCCGGAAAUCAGCGCCACCACCACUACGCGACUUAUACUGACUAUACUGUCUGUCCUGACGCUUGCAUUGUUAGUCGCGUGGUCGCGUAGUAAGAGAACAGAGCUACUGAUCUUUAAUUUUUUUUUGUUUAAAUUUCCACGUGGUGUUUGCUGGAGGCUUGAGUCACAUAUUGUACGAGUCUGUGAAUAUUUCAUUGGAUACAUUGAAUUGGAAUCAUUGUGACUCGGUGUUUCAUUGGAUAUAUGUGUUCUGGAUUUCAUUGGAUACAUGCUUGGAUUUAAACACAACGGUGAGUCACUUUUUGUAUGUUUGUAUGUAUUGUUUAUUGCAUUGUAUGUCCACCCACCUUGUCCAUCCGGGCGUCGGCAAGUCUACGCUGAUGGUACUGAAGAAUGAAGAGACGGUCCGUCACGUCUUCAUUGCCACAGUCUUCACAUAGUAUUACAUGGAAGAGGAUCUAGUGUUUAAGGGUCUAGUUCACGGGGGGGCCGUUACCUGAUAAGGGCGGACUCCUCGAGCCAGAUCGUGAACGUGUAUGACGGUGGACGCUACACUUAGCUGGACACCUUUAAUGCUGGUUUCGAUUUCUGUUUUACUUGUGUUGGACACCCGUGGUACUUGUUCUCUCUCGUCGACGAAUUGAAUAUUUUUGGAAAUAUUUUUGUUUAUU